rnacentral:tRNA from 1 species
GCCUGGGUGGCUCAGUCGGUUGAGUGUCUGACUUCAGCUCAGGUCAUGAUCUCACAGUCUGUGAGUUUGAGCCCCACGUCAGGCC